GGAAAACUCACCCGGCCCGGACACUGUAAGGAUUGACAGAUUGAGAGCUCUUUCUUGAUUCGGUGGGUGGUGGUGCAUGGCCGUUCUUAGUUGGUGGAGCGAUUUGUCUGGUUUAUUCCGAUAACGAACGAGACUCCAGCCUGCUAACUAGUACGCGUAUCUCUCAGUGCGCGCUACUUCUUAGAGGGACAAGCGGUGUUCAGCCGCAUGAGAAGGAGCAAUAACAGGUCUGUGAUGCCCUUAGAUGUCCGGGGCUGCACGCGCGCUACACUGAAAGGAUCAGAGUGCUAGUUCACCUUGCCCGAAAGGGCUGGGUAACCCGCUCAAAACCUUUCGUGAUUGGGAUAGGGACUUGCAAUUAUUUCCCUUGAACGAGGAAUUCCCAGUAAGUGCGGGUCAUAAGCUCGCGUUGAUUACGUCCCUGCCCUUUGUACACACCGCCCGUCGCUGCCCGGGACUGAGCCGUUUCGAGAAGAACGGGGACCGUAGGCGCUUGGCUCUCGCGGGCUUUUCGUUUGUGGAAACCGUUUUAAUCGCAGCGGCUUGAACCGGACAAAAGUCGUAACAAGGUUUCCGUAGGUGAACCUGCGGAAGGAUC
rnacentral:rRNA from 1 species